CAUACUUCAAUAUUAGCAGCGAGUGGGUUGCUCAGACACUCUGAAAAUGUUAGUGCGUGUUGGAUCCUCCAAAAGUAGUGCACUUUUUGAGGAUCCGACACGAGGUACGACAGCAGUUUUGAAGAGUCCACACAACAUAACCUGCCACCAUGAUGCCGUGCUAUUAUAAAGGAUCAUAGAGCAGUUGAAGUGAUUGAUAAACUACAGGACUGCUAAUAUUGUACAUGCGGCAGCAUACAGAACUAUGAAAUGAAAUUGGAUCUGUCGAAAGUCAAAACUCAAGGGAAGACAAACAGUAUGGAAAUGCUAAGCUCACAGUAGAUAUUAAUCACAGCUGUUUUAUACACAGUAUUCAACUCCAUUGUUUAGCAUAUGCGGAUCAGUGUCCAAUUCUCAGCCAAGUCCAUGUCUGACCACAACCAUUUACAACUCAAAACUGCUCCGUCGCCAGACUGCCAGAGAAUAAAAAAAGUCUCUUUAACCCGUAAUAGGAGCAGCAUGGUACAAAAGCAAUGUUAUAUCUGUUGUUUUGUUAGUGCAAGCUCGGAAGAGGCCAUCAGUUUUUUUCUCUUUAAGUGAACUUGCUCAAUGAUACUUCUGCUUGAUGGUUUAUGUACACAAUUUGGGCAAGAGAGGAAUAAGAUAUAUCUUGAAAGAAUCACAAAAGGGCAAGUAAAAACAAGAUGAUGCUGGAACCUGGCAGGCGCGCCUGGAGGCUGACCAGACUUGCUGCUUUGCGAGAGAGCAUAAAGCUCAGUUGUGUCACAUAAUUGUCGAUUAGAGUACCAGGUUGAUCAACUUCAGCUAACAGUUUCAUUUCC